rnacentral:rRNA from 1 species
UACGUAGGGGGCGAGCGUUGUCCGGAUUUAUUGGGCGUAAAGAGCUCGUAGGCGGUUUGGCAAGUCGGGUGUGAAAACUCCGGGCUCAACUCGGAGACGCCACUCGAUACUGCUAUGACUCGAGUCCGGUAGGGGAGUGCGGAAUUCCUGGUGUAGCGGUGAAAUGCGCAGAUAUCAGGAGGAACACCCGUGGCUAAGGCGGCUCUCUAGUACGGUACUGACGCUGAGACGCGAAAGCGUGGGGAGCGAACAGG